UACGUAGGGUGCAAGCGUUAAUCGGAAUUACUGGGCGUAAAGCGUGCGCAGGCGGCUUUGCAAGACAGAUGUGAAAUCCCCGGGCUUAACCUGGGAACUGCAUUUGUGACUGCAUGGCUGGAGUGCGGCAGAGGGGGGUAGAAUUCCACGUGUAGCAGUGAAAUGCGUAGAGAUGUGGAGGAAUACCGAUGGCGAAGGCAGCCCCCUGGGCCAAUACUGACGCUCAUGCACGAAAGCGUGGGGAGCAAACAGG
rnacentral:rRNA from 1 species